UACGGAGGAUGCAAGCGUUAUCCGGAUUUAUUGGGUUUAAAGGGUGCGCAGGUUGUUUGAUAAGUCAGUGGUGAAAGUCUGUCGCUUAACGGUAGGAUUGCCAUUGAUACUGUUGGACUUGAAUAUGGAUGAGGUAGGCGGAAAGUGUAGUGUAGCGGUGAAAUGCAUAGAUAUUACACUGAACACCGAUUGCGAAGGCAGCUUACUAAUCCAUCAUUGACGCUGAGGCACGAAAGCGUGGGGAUCAAACAGGA
rnacentral:rRNA from 1 species